UUUUUGCGUUAGGGAUUGUAGUGGCAUCCUCUUUAUUGCUUUGGGAAGCCAUAAAGAGAUACAACGGAAAGCCCGGUCCUUU
rnacentral:sRNA from 1 species